GAUGUUCUGGUCUAGUUAAACGUACUUACUUCCUAGUGGAUGUGACUUAAUCAAAUGGCCGGGGUUUCAGCGAGGCUCCAAUUUAAGCGUUCAAGGUUGAAAGACGUGCGCUUACCUUUCCUGUCCCAACGUCCGAAGAUUUUCUACUCUGGAUAAUUCAAUAUCAGCGCUCUCUGUCAUUUGGCGAGUCGCCCACGUGGCGGAAUUCCUUGUCACUGCGGUCCUUGCAAGGUCCCUCUCAAUACUUAGCGGUUUGAAUCGGGCGGUCGCCAUCCUUUCCGUUGUUGAGCGAGUGGAAUGGCUGUUGCGGUCGCCAAUUUGGUGCCGCCCUCUGGCCCGGAACAACCUCCACUCUACUUGAAAGCGAAGAAGCUGCCUCGAUGAAAUAUAGAGAGCUCAGAGUUCAAUAAUUAUCUCAUCCCAGAGAGAUAAUUUGUGUAUAGGUAAUGGACAUCAUGUUCGUGAUUUUCUCUCGGCUGACCGUUCGCCGAAAACUGUUCCAAAGAAAAUGUGAUUGAGAUUCCCUACAUCUUAAUGUGCAAAGCAUCUGGUUCUGGGUGUCGAUGUCUCCAAGUGGCUCGAGAAAGGUUUCAAUUGCAUCUUGGGCGAGGUGGAAAGUCGGGGUAAUGAAAAGGAGGUCAUUGGGUAGGUG
rnacentral:sRNA from 2 species